UUCCGAAUCCACAAAAAGUAACGUCUGCCCAGUGAUUGUUAGAUUUAACGGCCGCGUUUAGUGCUAAGGUAGCAUAAUAAUUUGCCUUUUCAUUGAAGGCUAGUAUGAAUGGCAUAACGAAGCUUAACUGUCUCUGCUUACUAUAAAAAAAUUGAUCAAAAAGUGAAAAAGCUUUUAUAAUAUUGAAGGACGAAAAGACCCUAUAGAGCUUUAAUAUAAUAAGUAAACAGCACAUCAAACUUUAAACCCUUUAACUUAAGUAUUUUUAUUGGGGCAAUAGAAAAAACUUUUUAACACUCCUACUUAUAAUAAUAAGCAACAAAACCCUCAAAGAGAAUUAAUAAAAGCUACCUUAGGGAUAACAGCGUAAUCUUACCAGAGAGAUCUAAUCGAAGGAAAGGUUUGCGACCUCGAUGUUGGACUAAGAAAACCUGAAGGUGCAGAAACCUUUAAAAGCUGGUCUGUUCGGCCAUUAA
rnacentral:rRNA from 1 species